AUGGGACACCACAAUCUCCUUUCUGCUACAGCCCUUUUAGCCCCCAAAAUUGAAACUCACCAACCCUGGAAGUUAAAAAAUUGGGGAUUCACAGGAAGAGGGAGCUGGCAACUCUCAGACCCUAAAUCAAACAUUUCUUCUGUCUCCACUCAUCCUAAAGGAUGCUGGAUGGAAUCAGAAAAAUGGAAUUCUUGUGCUUCUGCUCUGGAGCUGCAGUCAGCAGAGUGCUUUAGGUACCUCACCCUCCCAAAAUUCAGCUCCUCUCUGUUCUCACUCUCAGCUUGGGUGCUCCUUUCACAAGACACAGCUCCUUGUGCAUGUCAAACGUCUUCAAUGUAAAUUUUGCUGGAUCUGAGGACAAAUAUUUCCCUCUCCAACAUUUAAACUCAUUUAAAAGCUCCUGCUGGCUCUCAGAGCAUUGGAGAGGAGCUUUAAUGCAGGGAGAAGAGGAUGCAGGAGGGUUUGAUUUAUAGAAUGAUGCCAAAUUCUCCGCUGGGAAGGAGAGAAAUCCUCUCCUCCAAAAAAUAUCCCAAAUUUCCUGCGCUCUUGAAACAUUCACUGCUGCUUCCUGGGUGACCUUUUCCAUGGGUGUGUUUGAAAUUCAGGGAGGAGUGGAUCUGUUUUCUGUCCUCGGAGCAAAACUCUGCCUUGUUUUUCUGCCUUGUACCAUUUUCCCGUUGGAUUUUCGUUCACCUCGCUGGGUCAGUCCCAACCACUCGGUGUUUUUCUCCUCGUCCUUCAAGGGUUGCAUCCCCAGAGUUGUAUUUAUGUCUGUAAAUAGAUUUCCAAAGCUUCCUAGGCAAAAUAUUUAGUGCUUGUAAUUACUCUGCAUUUUUCUCUUUUUUUUUUUUUUCUGUUUUUAAUGAACUUACCUUUGUGUUUGCUGAAAUACUGUAGUGAGACUUAUUUCUUUUCCCAAUUAGUUAUUUUUAGGCUUCAAGAGGAACUACAUUUUAUUCACUUUUGUAAACAGUUAUAGCAUGGUCUCUAUCCAACAUCAUCCUUCACUUUUUUUGUGGUAGGGGAUAAACAAACAUAAAAAAGAAAAAAAAAAUUAAAAAAAAAUCUGUGGGUUAUUUGUGGUAUUUUGGGUUGGACAACUCCAGCUCUUUUUAAAACCAAAAUUUCAGUGAGAGGUGGUGAGGCUGAGGGGGGACACAGCCCCAUCAGAGUGGCACCAGAGGGAAUUUGUUCAGCAUUUUCUGGCUACGUUUACAAAACAUUUCCCCUUUCAACGCUGAACUUUUCCUGAAGGGGAACCCAUCAGGUUGGGGAUUUUAUUUUUGUGGGGGUUGAUUACCAGGGAAUUAUUUUUUUUCCUGGGGAGGGCAGGGGUUGGCUGCUGAUUUUUGGAAGCAGAUAGGAAAAGAGAAUCGAGCAGAUUAUUUUCCCCCCACUCCAGGAAUCUCUAGAUAUCACCCCAGGGUAAAUUCUUGCUGUCCACAGGGAUGGCUGUGUCCAGCACCACAGGAGAAUUCAUUACAACUACCCAGAGCAGCUGGACUGCUGCAGUAGUUCUAAUGAACACUUUUCUUCCUUUUUUUUUUCCUUUUCUUUUCUUUCUUUCUUUGUACCACAGUUUCCUCUGUAAAUUCAAUAUCAUAAUUAGUGUGAAUGACAAAUAAAAUGUUUGACAAGUAUGCA
ensembl:lncRNA